GAGAAAGAGGGAGAUGUGCUGUCGCGUCGAUAAAUCAAAGCAAAGGAGCUCCUGAUCUCGCGAUUGCCCCAUUUCUCCGCUCGCUCUGAAAUGCCUUUCCAUUUUCACCUAUUUUCGCCUCUCCCUCUCUCUCUCUCUCGCGCGUCCGGAUCAAUCGAACGGUCGCGAUGAAGUCUAACGGAGUUUCGUUGUAGAAAAUGGGAGUUUGGCAGCUCGUUUACAGAUCUAAUGGAGUGGUUGAGAGUUAGGGUUUAGAUCGGGAUAUCGCUAUUUUUCGCUGUCGUUUUCGUUGCCGUACGGCAAUGAAUCGGAGUUUCAGGGCUGCAGAGUCGAAAAUGUAAGAGCCCGUAGAGCAGCAGAGGCAAGGGAGGAGCCUUGGAGCUGUGAUGAAGGACAAGGAAGAGGAUCUUGCGUUGUUUCUCGAGAUGCGGAAGCGCGAGAAGGAGCGGAAUAGCUUGCUUCUCCUCCACACCUCCGAAGAUUUCGAUCCUCCUUUAGGGUCGAAACCAGGCGGUUCUCCCAUAUUCAAGAUAGUGUCAUCAACACCACAUAAAACUGCUUCUGAUGACUUCCUAAACUCCGACAGCGAGAAAAAUGAUUAUGAUUGGCUUCUUACGCCACCUGGUACUCCUCUUUUUCCUUCUCUGGAAAUGGAGUCAAACAAAUCCACCCUGGGUCAGAUUGUAACCCCCAAAGCUCGUCCAACUGCACUGAAGUCUAGGGUACAAUUCCCAUUGGUGUUGGGAAGCUUAACAAGUUGGAGAAACUAGGAUCCUUACUCUUGUUCCGGUGGUAGACUCUCAGGAGUUUCAUCACCCGGUCAAGGGUUCAAGGAUCCACAGGUGGUGAAAUCCCACUAAGGUGUGAGUGUGUGGGUGUGUGUUUGCAUGUGUUAAAAAAAGAGAGGAGAAACUGUACUUGGAUUCAAAUGGAUUAUCAGGACAAAUUCCAUCUUCCUUGGGCAACAUCACGAGAUUGUACCUCCUCAAUUUACAUGAAAACAAACUAUCAGGGAGCAUACCUUCCACUCUUGGUAAUUGUCUAAACCUGAACUUCAUAUACCUCUUCAAUAAUAACUUUAGAGGUACCUUACCCCAACAACUUUUCAGCAUUCCAUCUCUGCUUGAUCUCUGAGCUCAAGAGAACUUUUUCACUAGUCUGCCACAUGAAGCCAGUUACUUGAUAUUCGGUGUUUUCAAUAACAAAUUAUCAGGCGAAAUUCCAAGCUGGCUAGGCAAUUGUCUCAGCCUAGAGUAUCUUGGGUUGGAUGGGAACUUCUUUCAAGGAUCAAUUCCAUCAACAUUUAGUACUCUAAAAGGCCUUCGAUACCUGGGUCUUUCACGCAACAACUUAUCUAGGAAGAUUCCAAGAUAUCUGGAGAAGUUUUCUCUAGAGUAUCUAAAUCUAUCCUUCAAUAAUUUCGAGGGUGAAUUACCAAAACAAGGGGUCCUUGGAAAUGCCAGUCGAAUUUCAGUGCUCGGAAAUAGGAAGCUUUGUGGGGGUAUUCAUGAAUUACAAUUGCAUCCAUGCUCUAGCCAAGCUUCCAAGAAAUGGGAGAAGCCUCUUGCUUCAAAAGUCAAAUUCUCAAUAAUUGGUGUUGUCCUGUGUCUUAUAUCAUUAUUGUCUUUCUUUACCACUCUUCAAUUAUUGGUAAAGUUGAGAAGGAAACUUUUUUCUGUGCCUUCUGUGGAGGAUCCUUUUAUGAACGUCUCUUAUGUGGAGCUCUUUAAAGCAACUGAUGAGUUCUCUCCUGCCAAUUUGAUCGGAACUGGAAGUUUUGGCAUCGUAUAUAAAGGGAUUCUAGAUCAUGUUGGGACUAUGGUAGCAGUGAAAGUCUUCAACCUUCAACGACAAGGAGCUCUGAGGAGCUUCAUGGCGGAAUGUGAUGCCUUGAGAAACAUUAGGCAUCGGAAUCUUGUUAAGAUCUUAACUUGUUGCUCGAGCAUUGAUAUUUAAGGGCAAUGAUUUUAAAGCUCUAGUUUACGAGUACAUGCCCAAUGGAAGUCUAGAGAAGUGGUUGCCCAAAGAUGGCCGUGACCAGCCGAGAAGAAGCUUGAAGUUUACUCAAAGGUUAAACAUAGCUAUAGAUGUGGCUUCUGAUCUGGAUUAUCUACAUAAUCAUUUCCAAACUUAAAUCAUUCCUCUAGAUUUAAAGUCGACCAACAUUCUUCUUGAUGAUGACAUGAUUGCUAGCAUGGGUGAUUUUGGGCUAGCCAGGUUCUUAUCUGAGGUUGCCCAAACUACCUCAGCUGGGAUGAAGGGAUCUAUUGGGUACAUUGCUCCAGGUGGAGCAUACCAAAGGAAACCAUUGGGUAGAGGGAUGCAUGCCCUUGGUUUCUCGCAUGACCCAUUGUAUGUUUAUGUGAGAUACACUCCAACUAGAGGUGUACACAGAACCGAGCUAGCUCGGUUAGUUCGCUCGACUCGACUCGAAAAAGUUCGAUUUGACUCGGUUUGAAGUUGAGUUCGAGCCGAGUCGAGCUGAUUUUUUAAGCUCGAAAAUGAGUUCGAGCCGAGUUCUAGCUGGCCCCAGCUCGAUUUGACUCGGAUCGAACCCAGCUCGAAUCGAACUCAGAUCGAACCAGUUCGGUGACUCGGUUACUUUGAUAUUGAUGUUGCUCACCAAGUGUUUGAUGAAAUGACUCAAAGAAGUGUGGCUAGUGGCAAGGAAGAGUAUGCGAUGGGCGGUAAAUCAUCCACACAAGGAGAUGUUUACAGCUAUGGAAUCCUUCUAUUGGAGAUGAUCACUGGAAAGGGGCCAACUGAUGACAUGUUUAAGAACAAUCUAACCCUUCAUCAUUUCGUAAAUUGGCUUUACCUGAACGAGUAAUGGAGAUUGUUGAUCCACGACUGCUUGAAGGAGAAGCAGAAGUUACUCAAAGCAGCAGAAAUCAUAUCGAUAGAAGAAAUAGAAUGGGUGGCUGCUUGAUUUCAAUGAUCCGAUUCGGUGUGAUCUGUUCUGCGGAAUCUCCAAGAGAACGAAUGGAUAUUAAAGAUGUUUCACGGAAAUGCAUGCAAUCAAGGACUUGUAUCUUGGCAACGCGAUUCACGGAGAAACAAGUUUGGUCACAACUGUUAGACGAAGGUCCGUCUUACCUAUUUAAAAUUUUAAAACAAAAUAAGUUUGUUGAACACUUUUUAAUAAGCUCUAGAUAUAUUUAGUCUUGGCUUAGGAGUGGGCUUGUAUUGAUGGUGAAUAUAUUGCAAGAUGUGCUUUUUUUUUUUACCCCAUUUUUCUUUUUUCUUUUUUUUUUUUAUUUCAUGUGAGUCAAAGGGAGAUUGUAUCAUGAAUGUAAUGAGACAAAGGCAUCAUCUUAUUCCUAUAAGAGUACUAUUGGGUCAUUAAGAUGUUUAAUCACCAAAGCAUUUUAUUAAACCCUUUUCAAAAUGC